GCUUGUCUCAAAGAUUAAGCCAUGCAUGUCUAAGUAUAAAUAAUUCUAUACUGUGAAACUGCGAAUGGCUCAUUAUAUCAGUUAUAGUUUAUUUGAUAGUCCCUUACUACUUGGAUAACCGUAGUAACUCUAGAGCUAAUACAUGCGCAAAUUCCCGACUGUCGCAAGGCGGAAAGGAUGUAUUUAUUAGAUCCAACCAGCCCGGUUCGCCGGAGUCCCUGGUGAGUCAUAAUAACUGUGCGGAUCGCUUUUUAAGCGAUAAAUCGAUUGAGUUUCUGCCCUAUCAGCUUUGGAUGGUAGGAUAUGGGCCUACCAUGGCGUUAACGGGUAACGGGGAAUUAGGGUUUGAUUCCGGAGAGGGAGCCUUAGAAACGGCUACCACAUCCAAGGAAGGCAGCAGG
rnacentral:rRNA from 1 species